rnacentral:rRNA from 1 species
GACGAACGCUGGCGGCGUGCCCAACACAUGCAAGUCAACUUGACUGAAGGAGCAAUCUGACAGUAGAGUGGCGCAAGGGUGCGUAACGCGUAAGUAACUUGCCCCAAGGUAAGGAAUAACGUCGAGAAAUCGGCGCUAAUACCUCAUAAUGCAGCGGAUCCGCAUGGAUAUGUUGUUAAAGGUUUACCGCCUUGGGAUAGGCUUGCGUCUGAUUAGCUAGUUGGUGUGGUAACGGCACACCAAGGCUACGAUCAGUAACUGGUCUGAGAGGAUGAUCAGUCACACUGGAACUGAGACACGGUCCAGACUCCUACGGGAGGCAGCAGUGAGGAAUAUUGGGCAAUGCUCGAAAGAGUGACCCAGCAACGCCGCGUGGAGGAUGAAGGUAUUCUAUAUCGUAAACUCCUGUGAGAGCAGACGAAAGACAGAUUAUUAAUCUGGAUGACUGUAUGCUCAGAGGAA